rnacentral:tRNA from 4 species
GUAGCUCAACUGGAUAGAGCAGCUGCCUUCUAAGCAGCAGGUCGGGGGUUCGAGUCCCUCCG